GCAGUAGCCGCGGUAAUACGUAGGGUGCGAGCGUUAAUCGGAAUUACUGGGCGUAAAGCGUGCGCAGGCGGUUCGUUAAGUCUGUUGUGAAAGCCCCGGGCUCAACCUGGGAAUGGCAAUGGAUACUGGCGAGCUAGAGUGUGUCAGAGGAUGGUGGAAUUCCCGGUGUAGCGGUGAAAUGCGUAGAGAUCGGGAGGAACAUCAGUGGCGAAGGCGGCCAUCUGGGACAACACUGACGCUGAGGCACGAAAGCGUGGGGAGCAAACAGGAUUAGAGACCCCCGUAGUCCCUGUCUCUUAUAC
rnacentral:rRNA from 1 species